rnacentral:rRNA from 1 species
AGUUCGGAUCGGAGUCUGCAACCCGACUCCGUGAAGCUGGAUUCGCUAGUAAUCGCGCAUCAGCCAUGGCGCGGUGAAUACGUUCCCGGGCCUUGUACACACCGCCCGUCAAGCCAUGGGAGCCGGGGGUGCUUGAAGUGCCUCGCCGCGAGGCGCGCCCUAGAGCAAAACCGGUGACUGGGGCUAAGUCGUAACAAGGUACC